rnacentral:lncRNA from 1 species
UUUAUACUAUUUUCACAUUUCAAAGAUUAGUUUUUUCCGUUACUCUCUUCUUCCCCAAAUCUUCCUCCUGCCGGCCGACUGACCUAAUCUUCUGCGGCCAUUCGUCGUCGGAAUUGGGUCAUCGUUGCUUUAUAAAUAUAUCUCAAGAAUCUUGGUAAGAAUAUAUAGAAAUUAUUUGUGAUAUAAGCAUAUUUAGGAAUUAAAAAUGGUAAUGAAACAUGAUUUGUUGAAUUAUCGAACAAAUAAGAAUUAGUAAUUAGACAUCUUCUAUAUUGGUACAAUUAUUUGUUGGUUAAAGGAACAACAAAGUGAAAAAGUUCUUGUCUGGCUAUGACAAAUGGUAAUUCGACAUCUUUUAUAUUGGUACAAUGGUUCGAACCAUUUGAGAAACAAUGGUUUAAACUAUUUAAGGAAUGAUUGUUUGAACUAUUUCAGGGGCAAUGGUUUGAACAAAUUGAGGAACAAUGGUUAGAACAAUUUUAGAAAUAAUGAUUCGACCAAGUAGAGUAGGAUGAUAAUUGUUUUGGAGAACGACAUCUAAUAAAAUGGUGAAGGAGGGGUACAGUGAUUAUAAUAUUCCGCUGCUGCUAUUCAUCCGUUCCAGUGAAGUCAUUUGUGUUGUUAAGGACAUGGAUUAGGAAAAAGAAGCAAAUGUUGAGAUGGAGAUUGUAACUGAAGUUUCAGCACCAAAUGAUACGCAAAGAAAGCCUUUUGAUCUAGAAACCGCCUUCAUGACCAGGUCAUCAGUUUACUUUUUACAUUCUAGUGACAAUCCUAGUAACAAGAUUGUCAAUGAUUUACUAAAAGGGCAAUCAAACUACCCUAUUUGGUCCAAAGAUAUGAUGCUUUGGCUGGUAACAAAAAGAAAACAAAAAUUCAUUAAUGGGAAAGUAGUUAAACCUAAGGAUGAAAACACGGAUGAGUUUGAGGCUUGGGAAACUGUUAAUGGAGUAGUCUUUUCAUAGAUCAUCAAUGCAUGUGAAAAGAACAUAGCUGCCUCAAUUAGGUCAGCUGAAAGUGCAGCUGAGGGAUGGAAUAUACUGAAAGUAAGGUAUAGCUAAGGACAAGCCCCUCUAAGGUUCCAAAUUGGCCAAGAACUGACCAAUUUAUAUCAAGGGGAAAUGUCAGUUUCUGAUUAUUAUAUCAAGUUAAAAGCCAUAUGGGAUAGCCUGCAAGAUAUAAGUAAAAAGAAAAGAUGCACUUGUGGGGCAAUUCAGAUAUGGGAAGAGGAAAAUGAGCAAGAUAAGGUAGUAAAAUUCCUUCUUGACUUGAAUGAAGAAUUUUUGAAUGUAAGAGGCCAGAUACUAACUGGGAAAGAGAUUCCCAAUAUGGAUUCAGCCUACUCAACUGUCAUAACUGAGGAAAAACAUGGAGGGGUAACCUUUACAAAACAUAACUCUGAUAUGGGGCAAAUAGAUACUGCCAUGGCUGUUAAAAGGUCUUUUGGUUUUAGAAGUGAACCUUUUAAUUCAGACAAAUACAAAAUCAGUAAGAAGGGCCUGAAAUUAAACUUAAAAGUCAGAUGUGAUCAUUGCUGGUUUUAUGGUCACACCAAGGAUACAUGUUACCAUAUUAAUGGAUAUCCUUAUUCAAGCAAAAGAUUUAAAGCUUUCAACACUAAGAAGGCUAAAACAGAACAUGCAAGCUCAGCAACUACUCAUUCAAUCACUGAUGAGGAGUACAAGAUCAUGCAGAAUCUGUUCAUGAAAAAUGCAGGUAAUUUUUUUAUAAAAUAAAUUAGCUUGCAAUGCUUAUUCUUCAUAUAAUUUUCAAUGGAUUUGUGAUAGUGGUGCUUCACAGCACAUGAGUGGAAAUAAGUCGAUCACUCUUUAGUAACUUAAGAGAUUCAAAAAAAAAAAGAAGAGUCUCAAUACCUGAUGGAAGUUGUUUUUCAAUAAAACAAAUUGGAGAAAUCAUACCUUCUCCAACAAUAACUCUGAAAAAUGUCUAUUAUAUUCCUGAUUUCAAACUAAAUUUAAUUUCAUUAUAUAGGAUUAUAAAAGACAUGGGUAUAUCGAUACUUUUAAAUGAAUCACAAUGUUUUUUUCAGGAUUCUCAUAACAAGGAUCUGAUUGGACUGGGUAAUAUAAACAAUGGAGUUUAUAUUUUUGAUAGAGAGGCUAUCUGUGGAGCCACUCAGGAUAUAAAGCUAUGGCAUGCUAGGAUGAGGCACAUGUUAUACAAUAAAUUGAAAUUGUUAGCUAAUAAAUAAAGAUGUUUUUUCACAAUGUGAUGUAUGUCCACUUGCUAAACAACAAAAACUAAAAUAUAAUAAAAGUAUAUCUCAAAGUGAAAAUCUAUUUGAUUUAAUACAUAUUAAUAUAUUGGGCAAAUUCCCAAUAUCAG